AUGCUUUAGAGUUUUCUAGAUUGUCUACAAUGCCAUGAUUUAACAAAUCCUUCUAAUUGGAUAACUCUUGUUGUUGCAACAAACUCUUCCAGGUACAACCUACAAGGCUUAUAUUGUUUAAAGAGCCUGUAUGCAAAGCUAACACAUUUACAUGUGUCUGUUGCAUUCAAUAAAGUAGUACAAACAUCACGCUAUCCGAUAUAAUUUUAUGUAAAGAACUCUAUAACAGACAGAAGACUGGGUGUGGAUGCGAAUUGUUGAUGCGGUGUUUUGUGUGGCGAGCAGCCAAUUUGGCCUUUGGGAUCCACGACAGCACAUUACAUUGCAGUAGUUGUGGCGUCGACACCCACGCCUCACUUCAAAGACCAAACCCGGUCGCCAGGUGUGACACCCCUGGCACAACGCUUGGAAGCUUGGAGCCCCUUGCAGAUCGUGCCAUGUGGCCUGCGUCAUAUACCGUUUCGCUUGUAGGGAGUGUUGGAUCAGCACACCCCGUCGUGAAGGAGUGGAAGAAUUUUUGCACCCAGCAUCGAGUAGUUUUAACUUGGUUGAUCGGCAUAUCGAAUUUGUGUAAACUGAUGAGUUGAAGGAGAAGAUCAGCACUGAUUUUGAGAAGGAGGGUUGGAAGAAGAGGAAGGAAAGCCGGGCAGAGAGUGAGUCGUUUGGUUUUGUGAACCGGAGAGAUUAGGACGUGUGGCGAGGUCGAAGUUUCAAACAGAAAUGGCAUCGAGCGGGGCUAACUCCAUGAAGGAAGACACCUUUAAACCUGUUCAAAAUUCUCAGGCCACAGUUGCUAGAAACGAAUCCCAUGACAAAGUGGAAGACGCCUCAACACCUGCGGAAGCGGUGAAAGCUCCGGGACUUGCGCAACGGGCCGUAGAGGAAGUGCAAGCCAUAGCUAGCGAAUUGUGGGUGGCGGUCACACCGUCUAAGAAGUGAAAAGGUCCUCGCUAGUGUUUAACGGAAAAUUGACUGCGAAGAGCUCCGAAGCAGACUUGCUACAACUCUAGUGUGUAAUAAGAUUACUGUGUAGCGGUAAGAUGUCAUUCUUGUCCUAGUUGCUUUAUCCUUAUUUAUAUCAGUUGAAUCUAAAGCUCCAUGAAAGACACAGAAGUGUUCCGAGCACGGGUGUUAAACACAACCAAAUCCGACGACUAAGUCCCUGCGGCAUUGCCUCGGAAGACAUGAAAUUUAAGCUCUGAGAAACCCUAAUUGCUUCCGAACGAUAGUUAGAUUAUUGUUCAUUAUGUAACCAUUUUCUUACUGUGGAAUUGCUUUUGAUCCGCAGUUAAAUAGACAUGAAAUCAGUAAUUUUCAUAAUGCAACAAAUUAGAUUUAGCA